rnacentral:rRNA from 1 species
GACGAACGCUGGCGGCGUGCCUAACACAUGCAAGUCGAACGGAACUGUUUUGAAAGAUUUCUUCGGAAUGAAUUUGAUUUAGUUUAGUGGCGGACGGGUGAGUAACGCGUGAGUAAUCUGCCUUCAAGAGGGGGAUAACAUUCUGAAAAGAAUGCUAAUACCGCAUGAUAUAUCGGAACCACAUGGUUUUGAUAUCAAAGAUUUUAUCGCUUGAAGAUGGACUCGCGUCCGAUUAGUUAGUUGGUGAGGUAACGGCUCACCAAGACCGCGAUCGGUAGCCGGACUGAGAGGUUGAACGGCCACAUUGGGACUGAGACACGGCCCAGACUCCUACGGGAGGCAGCAGUGGGGGAUAUUGCGCAAUGGGGGCAACCCUGACGCAGCAACGCCGCGUGAAGGAUGAAGGUUUUCGGAUUGUAAACUUCUUUUAUUAAGGACGAAAAAUGACGGUACUUAAUGAAUAAGCUCCGGCUAA